UUAGUGGCGCACGGGUGCGUAACGCGUGGGAAUCUGCCCCUUGGUUCGGAAUAACAGUUGGAAACGACUGCUAAUACCGGAUGAUGACGUAGGUCCAAAGAUUUAUCGCCGAGGGAUGAGCCCGCGUAGGAUUAGGUAGUUGGUGUGGUAAAGGCGCACCAAGCCGACGAUCCUUAGCUGGUCUGAGAGGACGAUCAGCCACACUGGGACUGAGACACGGCCCAGACUCCUACGGGAGGCAGCAGUGGGGAAUAUUGGACAAUGGGCGAAAGCCUGAUCCAGCAAUGCCGCGUGAGUGAUGAAGGCCUUAGGGUUGUAAAGCUCUUUUACCCGGGAUGAUAAUGACAGUACCGGGAGAAUAAGCUCCGGCUAACUCCGUGCCAGCAGCCGCGGUAAUACGGAGGGAGCUAGCGUUAUUCGGAAUUACUGGGCGUAAAGCGCACGUAGGCGGCUUUGUAAGUAAGAGGUGAAAGCCCAGAGCUCAACUCUGGAAUUGCCUUUUAGACUGCAUCGCUUGAAUCAUGGAGAGGUCAGUGGAAUUCCGAGUGUAGAGGUGAAAUUCGUAGAUAUUCGGAAGA
rnacentral:rRNA from 1 species